rnacentral:rRNA from 1 species
UGGGGGGACCAUCCUCCAAGGCUAAAUACUCCUGACUGACCGAUAGUGAACCAGUACCGUGAGGGAAAGGCGAAAAGAACCCCGGCGAGGGGAGUGAAAAAGAACCUGAAACCGUGUACGUACAAGCAGUGGGAGCACGCUUAGGCGUGUGACUGCGUACCUUUUGUAUAAUGGGUCAGCGACUUAUAUUCUGUAGCAAGGUUAACCGAAUAGGGGAGCCGAAGGGAAACCGAGUCUUAACUGGGCGUUAAGUUGCAGGGUAUAGACCCGAAACCCGGUGAUCUAGCCAUGGGCAGGUUGAAGGUUGGGUAACACUAACUGGAGGACCGAACCGACUAAUGUUGAAAAAUUAGCGGAUGACUUGUGGCUGGGGGUGAAAGGCCAAUCAAACCGGGAGAUAGCUGGUUCUCCCCGAAAGCUAUUUAGGUAGCGCCUCGUGAAUUCAUCUCCGGGGGUAGAGCACUGUUUCGGCAAGGGGGUCAUCCCGACUUACCAACCCGAUGCAAACUGCGAAUACCGGAGAAUGUUAUCACGGGAGACACACGGCGGGUGCUAACGUCCGUCGUGAAGAGGGAAACAACCCAGACCGCCAGCUAAGGUCCCAAAGUCAUGGUUAAGUGGGAAACGAUGUGGGAAGGCCCAGACAGCCAGGAUGUUGGCUUAGAAGCAGCCAUCAUUUAAAGAAAGCGUAAUAGCUCACUGGUCGAGUCGGCCUGCGCGGAAGAUGUAACGGGGCUAAACCAUGCACCGAAGCUGCGGCAGCGACACUAUGUGUUGUUGGGUAGGGGAGCGUUCUGUAAGCCUGUGAAGGUGUGCUGUGAGGCAUGCUGGAGGUAUCAGAAGUGCGAAUGCUGACAUAAGUAACGAUAAAGCGGGUGAAAAGCCCGCUCGCCGGAAGACCAAGGGUUCCUGUCCAACGUUAAUCGGGGCAGGGUGAGUCGACCCCUAAGGCGAGGCCGAAAGGCGUAGUCGAUGGGAAACAGGUUAAUAUUCCUGUACUUGGUGUUACUGCGAAGGGGGGACGGAGAAGGCUAUGUUGGCCGGGCGACGGUUGUCCCGGUUUAAGCGUGUAGGCUGGUUUUCCAGGCAAAUCCGGAAAAUCAAGGCUGAGGCGUGAUGACGAGGCACUACGGUGCUGAAGCAACAAAUGCCCUGCUUCCAGGAAAAGCCUCUAAGCAUCAGGUAACAUCAAAUCGUACCCCAAACCGACACAGGUGGUCAGGUAGAGAAUACCAAGGCGCUUGAGAGAACUCGGGUGAAGGAACUAGGCAAAAUGGUGCCGUAACUUCGGGAGAAGG